rnacentral:rRNA from 1 species
AGCGAACGCUGGCGGCAGGCUUAACACAUGCAAGUCGAACGCCCCGCAAGGGGAGUGGCAGACGGGUGAGUAACACGUGGGAACGUACCCUUUGGUUCGGAAUAACUUGGGGAAACUCAAGCUAAUACCGGAUAAGCCCUUAUGGGGAAAGGUUUACUGCCGAAGGAUCGGCCCGCGUCCGAUUAGCUAGUUGGUGAGGUAAUGGCUCACCAAGGCGACGAUCAGUAGCUGGUCUGAGAGGAUGAUCAGCCACACUGGGACUGAGACACGGCCGAGACUCCGACGGGAGGCCGCAGUGGUGAAUAUGGGACAAUGGGGGCAACCCUGAUCCAGCCAUGCCGCGUGAGUGAGGAAGGCCUUAGGGUUGUAAAGCUCUUUUACCCGGGACGAUAAUGACUGUACCGGGAGAAUAAGCCCCGGCUAACUUCGUGCCAGCCGCCGCCGUAA